AUGGACAGCCUCACAUAUCGUCAGGUUAACUGGAGGCCUUACGAGGCAAAUAGGGGUUUCGCAUUGAACCAGAUGUGCACUAGGGACUCCCAUCUUUGGCGGAUCAGGUGCCCUCUCAUAUGCAUUUAUGCUGUCGAGUGGCAUCUACCACAUCGAGUGGCCAUGCAAUUUGGUAUGAGGCAACGCACCCCAUCGGAGCCAGCAAGCACGGGUGGACUUGAGCUUCACAAUCAGAACCGAAAGAAUAAUCAGAAUGUGCUUGAGUGGGGACAACACCAUGCUAGGUAUGUUGAGAUGUGGGAGCAGAGGCUCGGUUCUAGAGAGACGGAUAUGACUCUGGCGGACAUGAGGAAUUUCAAAGAAACUCAUCUAAAGUGGUAUGACAAUGGGAGGCGAUUUCGGGUGCGUUUGAGGCCAAGGUGGACCGACGCAGAUCUUGCAGAUCAUGAUGCAAACAAUGAAUCAGACGAUGAGUAUGACGCCACAGUGAGAAGUACGCAAGGUUCUCACAGAGAGUAUGCGCCCUUGACUGAUAGAGUGGUAAGUCUUGUGAACCUAUUUGAAAGUGCAUUCAUAUUAUCUUGA
rnacentral:rRNA from 1 species